rnacentral:rRNA from 1 species
GAUGAACGCUGGCGGCGUGCCUAAUACAUGCAAGUCGAGCGAACAGACGAGGAGCUUGCUCCUCUGACGUUAGCGGCGGACGGGUGAGUAACACGUGGAUAACCUACCUAUAAGACUGGGAUAACUUCGGGAAACCGGAGCUAAUACCGGAUAACAUGUUGAACCGCAUGGUUCAACAGUGAAAGACGGUCUUGCUGUCACUUAUAGAUGGAUCCGCGCCGCAUUAGCUAGUUGGUAAGGUAACGGCUUACCAAGGCAACGAUGCGUAGCCGACCUGAGAGGGUGAUCGGCCACACUGGAACUGAGACACGGUCCAGACUCCUACGGGAGGCAGCAGUAGGGAAUCUUCCGCAAUGGGCGAAAGCCUGACGGGGCAACGCCGCGUGAGUGAUGAAGGUCUUCGGAUCGUAAAACUCUGUUAUUAGGGAAGAACAAAUGUGUAAGUAACUAUGCACGUCUUGACGGUACCUAAUCAGAAAGCCACGGCUAACUACGUG